rnacentral:tRNA from 1 species
UGCGGAGUGGGACCGGGCGUCCCACCGGGCCUCAUAAGCCUGGGCCGCAGGGUUCGACUCCCUGCUCCGCAA